UACAGAGGUCUCAAGCGUUGUUCGGAUUCAUUGGGCGUAAAGGGUGUGUAGGUGGCGCCGUAAGUCGGGUGUGAAAUUUCGGAGCUUAACUCCGAAACUGCAUUCGAUACUGCCGUGCUUGAGGACUGGAGAGGAGAGUGGAAUUUACGGUGUAGCGGUGAAAUGCGUAGAUAUCGUAAGGAAGACCAGUGGCGAAGGCGGGUCUCUGGACAGUGACUGACGCUGAGGCACGAAGGCCAGGGGAGCAAACGGG
rnacentral:rRNA from 1 species